GACGAACGCUGGCGGCGUGCUUAACACAUGCAAGUCGAACGGAAAGGCCCUGCUUUUGUGGGGUGCUCGAGUGGCGAACGGGUGAGUAACACGUGAGUAACCUGCCCUUGACUUUGGGAUAACUUCAGGAAACUGGGGCUAAUACCGGAUAGGAGCUCCUGCUGCAUGGUGGGGGUUGGAAAGUUUCGGCGGUUGGGGAUGGACUCGCGGCUUAUCAGCUUGUUGGUGGGGUAGUGGCUUACCAAGGCUUUGACGGGUAGCCGGCCUGAGAGGGUGACCGGCCACAUUGGGACUGAGAUACGGCCCAGACUCCUACGGGAGGCAGCAGUGGGGAAUAUUGCACAAUGGGCGGAAGCCUGAUGCAGCAACGCCGCGUGCGGGAUGACGGCCUUCGGGUUGUAAACCGCUUUCGCCUGUGACGAAGCGUGAGUGACGGUAAUGGGUAAAGAAGCACCGGCUAACUACGUGCCAGCAGCCGCGGUGAUACGUAGGGUGCGAGCGUUGUCCGGAUUUAUUGGGCGUAAAGGGCUCGUAGGUGGUUGAUCGCGUCGGAAGUGUAAUCUUGGGGCUUAACCCUGAGCGUGCUUUCGAUACGGGUUGACUUGAGGAAGGUAGGGGAGAAUGGAAUUCCUGGUGGAGCGGUGGAAUGCGCAGAUAUCAGGAGGAACACCAGUGGCGAAGGCGGUUCUCUGGGCCUUUCCUGACGCUGAGGAGCAAAAGCGUGGGGAGCGAACAGGCUUAGAUACCCUGGUAGUCCACGCUGUAAACGGUGGGUACUAGGUGUGGGGUCCAUUCCACGGGUUCCGUGCCGUAGCUAACGCUUUAAGUACCCCGCCUGGGGAGUACGGCCGCAAGGCUAAAACUCAAAGGAAUUGACGGGGCCCCGCACAAGCGGCGGAGCAUGCGGAUUAAUUCGAUGCAACGCGUAGAACCUUACCUGGGUUUGACAUGGAUCGGGAGCGCUCAGAGAUGGGUGUGCCUCUUUUGGGGUCGGUUCACAGGUGGUGCAUGGCUGUCGUCAGCUCGUGUCGUGAGAUGUUGGGUUAAGUCCCGCAACGAGCGCAACCCUUGUUCACUGUUGCCAGCACGUUAUGGUGGGGACUCAGUGGAGACCGCCGGGGUCAACUCGGAGGAAGGUGGGGAUGACGUCAAGUCAUCAUGCCCCUUAUGUCCAGGGCUUCACGCAUGCUACAAUGGCUGGUACAGAGAGUGGCGAGCCUGUGAGGGUGAGCGAAUCUCGGAAAGCCGGUCUCAGUUCGGAUUGGGGUCUGCAACUCGACCUCAUGAAGUCGGAGUCGCUAGUAAUCGCAGAUCAGCAACGCUGCGGUGAAUACGUUCCCGGGGCU
rnacentral:rRNA from 1 species